UCCCCCGCCGCUGCCGGGACAGGCUGCCCGCUCCAGCAGCCGCCGCUCGGGGAGAGCGCCCUCCCGCCCCGCUCCCCUGCCCGCAGCCGCGCGGUGGUCACGCCGGGGGUCCCAUUCGGGAGCGGUGGGUGUCCCGGUGCUGCCCCUCGGCUCCGAGUGACCCUCUAGAGCACCAUUGACGUGACUCACGGCUGUGUUCGUCCUGCCUGAACCGGACUGGCUGAAGGGCAGAAUGCAAGACCUUCCCAGGCGUGAAUUUCUUUCCUCAUGACCAGGGGGAAGUUUCAAAAAACCCCCAGUUCCUGUCUUACAAAGAACUUGAAGAACAGCGGGAAGACGUUGUGUGGAAGGGAAGUAAGAGAGGGAAAUCAAUGGGAGACCUUUACAAAGUUGGACUUUGAUGAAGAUGCUGAGUGGCCAGUCCUGCCUCAGAGUCUCCACUGAUCUGUGGGAGCCUGGGCUGCUCCAUGGAAUGGUCCUGUGCCUCAACACUGAUUUAUCAUCCACCAUGACCACAAGCUCAUGGAUGAGGAAGGAAUACCCAUGGCUGCUACCAUCCCUGCCCCUCUGGCUUCGGAUAAAUCACCAAGCUUGGAGCAUGACCACCCCAGGAAGAAAGAGAAGCAACUGCAUUUCUCUGCUCAACAUAUGGCAAUUUGGUCCUCUCCUCUCCACAGAACAUUGAUCUUCAAGGCCAUACAUGAUACAUGAGUGGGACACAUUCCCUGGAAUUAGCUGUUCCCUCCUUUUUCAUGCUUAAGAGGUAAGAGCUGCACAAACUUCCUCUAUAAUAGUCACCUAACAGAGAGUACAAAGUAUUCUUUGUACUGUCAGCAAAGUAUGAUGAUACCUAGAUUGGUUUUCAGUGUGUUUUUUGUUUUUAUUUUACUGUGAUGUUUUUACAAAAUCCAUAAAUCAUAGGGAUGUGAUAAGAAACAGGUUAUAGUUGCUGGUUAUUCUUGUCCAGAUGCACAGAAAUGCCCUGAUUGUUACUUUCCAACAACAGUCAGCUCGGGCUUAACAUUUUUCAGUUGCACAGCCAGCUUUCAAGGUUACACAUAGAUACUGAAUGAAACAGAGCCCACAAGGUUAUUUUUAGAGAGGCUCUAAACAAGAAGUAAAUCCCUGGAGCAGUGCUGCCAGAGAUGCAUAAAGUUCAAAUCCAAAUUAAAACUGCCUAUCUUUGGCUUAAAUUCCAGUUUGAACUUGAGGAAAACUCUGAUCUAUAACUUGAACUUUAUGACAAAAACUCCUUUGCAAUUAGUUUCUAAUAUCUGAGAACACAUGAACCUGGUAUGAACACUUGAAAAAUAGAACUUGAAUGAAAAAUGUGAACGUUUGUCCAAAAAUGCAGUACCUGUUCUUGUGAGAUAGUGUUGUAUGACUUUAAGUUUCAGUAGCUACACUGGAAUUUAGAGAGUCUAAUUUUUUGUGAUUCUUAGUUUCAACACAGCUUUGUAAGAUCAAGUCCUACAAUGUAAUUGUAAAUUUUGGGGACAGGAUGAGAAACAGAUGCUUAUUUACUGAUUCCUAUAAUAAUGACCUGUGAUGCUCAGGUCUAGGUUUAGUAAUGACCAUGACAGAAAAUGAAGAAAAGAGACCCCUUGUCAGCAGCAUAUUUAUGCAAAGUAGUGCAACUGAAGCAUGUUCUUGAUUUCUUUGCUGAAUCAGAGCCUAUAUCUUCUUCCUGCCAAGGCAGAGAUCUAAUACCACUCCUAAAUGCACUAGUAAUUCUAGAAGCCCUAAUGAAAGUCAAGAUAACACCACAGAUUUUAUAAAUAAGGGUCUUUAUUUAGAAUACUGUCGAAAACAUUCUUGGCAACCACAUCAUAUAAAUAUAUAAAGUUAAACACAACAAACCAAGCAAUAUUAAAUAUUUUAAUUUCUUCCCCUUUUUUGUUUUAGGUUUUGGGUUUUUUUUCUUUUUUUUUAAAUUUAUUAAUUUUUCUCUUUUUUACCAGUUUUUUUUUUUUUUUGGAAAGCAACUCUUAUUUACAAUUAUACAAAAAUUUUAUAAAAAAUGGUCCACAACCUUAUUUUGGCCAGAACAGGAGUAAUAGGAAGGAUCUAUCAUGCCACUACUGCUGUAGAUUUCUAUUUUCCUCCACAUUCAAGAGCCAACUUCCUAUUCCCCACAGCCCAGAUUAAACAUUGGCCGUUUCAUGGUAUACAAUUUUAUCUGUAGACGUAUUAAAUAACUUUAGUUUAACAACCAAUAAAUAACUAUGUGUACUUCAAAGUGAUACAGGUUUGCAAAGUUAUAUAGUUGAAGGAAUUUUCAGUGAUAUUUUAAAACUGGAACAAUAAGUCUUAAGAAGUCUUCUCAACCUUACAAAGCAGGUACUGAGCGAGGCCGAACGGAGCAAAUUGUUUUUGGUGCAGUCCAGCUGGAGGGGUCCUUAUAGCACUUGGUAGAUGGGGUUGCUGCUGCUGUUAUCCUGGGGAAGUGGGGUGCAAUUGGUGGGGGAAGGAAUUUGGGCUCCACUAUCACUCAGACUCACUCCUUCUGGAGGGGAACAGGGACUCCCUUCAGCAACAGUUUCCACUGAAGGUAGUAUGGGGCAUGUGGAAUUAUCUGUGGAAAUCCUCUCUACAAUGCUUGAGAGGCAAUCGAGACUGGAAACAACAGAACUCUUCCCAUGCUUUGCAUCUAAAAAACAGACAAAAAGGCACUCAGAUUAUCAAGUGGAUAGUACAGUUUAGAUUAGAUCAGAUUAUCAGUGGGCAGUACAUAUUUAUGAGCAUGUGAAGACACAGAGGAAAUGAAUAUUGGUGAAGGACACCAAUUAUCAGAAAACAGAUUGUAAUUUCAAAAUGGAAAAGAAGCCCUGCUCUGGGGACAGGGAGGAGCCAAGGCUUCACUGAGUUCAUAGAAAGGGAAGAGCAGAUUUGAAAUCAAUCAUAAAUUACUCCAAUUUGCAUCAAUGAUAGAAUAAGAAGUCUUAAUGUAGAAUAUGGUUAAAUGCUGAAAUUAGUUGCAGAGAAUAACAUACUUCUAUCCAACUGUUAUAUUUUCAAAAUAGGAAAUGCAGCUGUAACGCAUCCCUGUAUUUGCAAAUACACCUAGAGAAAAUCCAGUGCCUCUACCAGCAGCAAUGGCUUGCUGUCUGGAAAGGCAGGUCCUCUCUCAACCCAGCUGGGCAUGGAGCAGGCACAGGAAAGCUGCUGCACUGCCUGCCUCUGUCCGGGUGCCGCUGUUAGGGCACAUACUCACCAUUUGGGGACUCUGUGUAGUAGCUGCUGUCAUAGCUGUUCCUUCUGCGAGAGCUGCAAGGAGGCCCGCUGUACUCCAUCUGGGAAGGAGAGAAAUCCAAGCGAGGUCAGACUCUUACCCAAAUCCCAGAAACCAUCUAAGUUUGUAUUUCAGACUCUGGUCUGUGCUGUCAUUCCAGUCCUGGCUGAAAUGUCAUCAAGUUGUAGAUUCUUUGAGUAAGGAAGAACAUGACUUGGCUAGAAGGGGAUCCACCCCAAAAUAUUUUAUUUGGAACAGCUGUACCACAGGAAAGUUACCACCAUGCCAUUGAAUGCUGCAGCUUUACAGCUAAGAUGAGGGUUUCCAGCAUUCUGAUCAGAUACAGCCCUUCAUGUAUCUUUAGUUUAUAACAGGGAGACUGAAAGGGGAAUUAUGUCUUUUUAAUUUAGGUUUUGAAGAUUUUUCUAAACAUGAAUUCCUCUUUAAAA